rnacentral:rRNA from 1 species
AGCUCCAAUAGCGUAUAUUAAAGUUGUUGCAGUUAAAAAGCUCGUAGUUGAAUGUCGGACGAGAGCGGGCGGUCUGGCCUCUGGUCAGCACUGUCCGGAUCGAGUCUUUUUUCUGGGGAAGCGGCGUGUCCUUUGCUGGGCGCGUCGGGGAACCAGGACGAUUACCUUGAGAAAAACAGAGUGUUCAAAGCAGGCGAUUGCUUGGAUACAUUAGCAUGGAAUAAUGAAAUAGGACGUUGGCCCUAUUUUGUUGGUUUUGAGGACCAGUGUCAUGAUGAAUAGGGACAGUUGGGGGCAUUAGUAUUCAGACGUCAGAGGUGAAAUUCUUGGAUUGUCUGAAGACUAACUAGUGCGAAAGCAUUUGCCAAGGAUGUUUUCA